rnacentral:rRNA from 1 species
GUGCUGAAAGCAUCUAAGCACGAAACUUGCCCCGAGAUGAGUUCUCCCUGACUCCCUGAGAGUCCUGAAGGAACGUUGAAGACGACGACGUUGAUAGGCCGGGUGUGUAAGCGCAGCGAUGCGUUGAGCUAACCGGUACUAAUGAACCGUGAGGCUUAACCUUACAACGCCGAAGCUGUU